rnacentral:rRNA from 1 species
CCUACGGGUGGCAGCAGUGGGGAAUAUUGCACAAUGGGGGGAACCCUGAUGCAGCGACGCCGCGUGAGUGAAGAAGUAUUUCGGUAUGUAAAGCUCUAUCAGCAGGGAAGAAAAUGACGGUACCUGACUAAGAAGCCCCGGCUAACUACGGGCCAGCAGCCGCGGUAAUACGUAGGGGGCAAGCGUUAUCCGGAUUUACUGGGUGUAAAGGGGGCGCAGACGGCUGUGCAAGUCUGGAGGGAAAGGCGGGGGCCCAACCCCCGGACUGCGCUGGAAACUGUAAAGCUGGAGUGCAGGAGAGGUAAGCGGAAUUCCUAGUGUAGCGGUGAAAUGCGUAGAUAUUAGGAGGAACACCAGUGGCGAAGGCGGCUUACUGGACUGCAACUGACGUUGAGGCUCGAAAGCGUGGGGAGCAAACAGGAUUAGAUACCCUUGUAGUC